CCUCACACUGCCGUCCUCACCGCAGGUGGCAAAAUGGCUCUCGUCAGAGCUAAACACCACAUCAUUCACCUGGACGGCAGAGAAAAGGAGAAACACAAAUCUCACCCUGCUAACAUUAUCGGCUCGCUUCUGAAAAACAGCUUCCUCGGAGGUCACAUCAGGUCUACAUCCAGGCCAUGGGUGAUGAUCAGGCAGAAGUAAACCCCUUGGCUGCCCACACAGGCCAGCUGGCUCGCUACCGAGGGACUGAAGGCUGCGUCAUGGAUCGGCCCUGACACUCUCACACUGGACAGCAGCUGGAAGGUCUUGCUGCUCCACAGAGCCACCUCUGGUUCAGAGAAGUCUCCUGCAGGGAAUUGGGAAGAAACAGCGGAAAUGCUCAUGACUGAUGAAUGCAAUCCAAUUCAAAUUUUACUGACCGACCGAGAGAAAGAAACGAUCGUCCCUGGAAAAAGCAAGACUCUG